UAUGAUGCCAGGGGGACAGGAAGGA
rnacentral:piRNA from 1 species